UACGUAGGGUGCAAGCGUUGUCCGGAAUUACUGGGCGUAAAGGGUGCGUAGGCGGCCGUGCAAGUCUGGCGUGAAAGCCCCGGGCUCAGCCCGGGAAGUGCGCUCGAAACUGCGCGGCUCGAGUGCCGGAGGGGAGAGUGGAAUUCCUGGUGUAGCGGUGAAAUGCGCAGAUAUCAGGAGGAACACCGGUGGCGAAGGCGGGUCUCUGGGCAACAACUGACGCUGAGGAGCGAAAGCGUGGGGAGCGAACAGG
rnacentral:rRNA from 1 species